rnacentral:misc_RNA from 1 species
GAUGAAGAACGUAGCGAAAUGCGAUACUUGGUGUGAAUUGCAGAAUCCCGUGAACCAUCGAGUCUUUGAACGCAAGUUGCGCCCGAAGCCAUUAGGCCGAGGGCACGCCUGCCUGGGCGUCACACGUCGUUGCCCCCCCAUCUACUCCUUCGGGAUUGCGGGGGGCGGAUGAUGGCCUCCCGUGCGCCUCGUCGCGCGGUUGGCAUAAAUGCCAAGUCCUCGGCGACGCACGCCACGACAAUCGGUGGUUGCGAAACCUCGGUUGCCCGUCGUGUGCGGUCGUCGCGCAUCGAGGGCUCGAAAAAAUUGCCGGGCUCCGGCUCGGCUUUCAACGCGACCCCAGGUCAGGCGGGGUUACCCGCUGAAUUUAAGCAGAUCAAUAAGCGGAGGA